GACGAACGCUGGCGGCGCGCCUAACACAUGCCAGUCGAACGAGCGAGAGAGAGCUUGCUUUCUCGAGCGAGUGGCGAACGGGUGAGUAACGCGUGAGGAACCUGCCUCAAAGAGGGGGACAACAGUUGGAAACGACUGCUAAUACCGCAUAAGCCCACGGCUCGGCAUCGAGCAGGGGGAAAAGGAGCAAUCCGCUUUGAGAUGGCCUCGCGUCCGAUUAGCUAGUUGGUGGGGUAACGGCCCACCAAGGCGACGAUCGGUAGCCGGACUGAGAGGUUGAACGGCCACAUUGGGACUGAGACACGGCCCAGACUCCUACGGGAGGCAGCAGUGGGGAAUAUUGCACAAUGGGGGAAACCCUGAUGCAGCGACGCCGCGUGGAGGAAGAAGGUCUUCGGAUUGUAAACUCCUGUUGUUGGGGAAGAUAAUGACGGUACCCAACAAGGAAGUGACGGCUAACUACGUG
rnacentral:rRNA from 1 species